rnacentral:rRNA from 1 species
CGAUCAGUAGCCGACCUGAGAGGGUGAUCGGCCACAUUGGAACUGAGACACGGUCCAAACUCCUACGGGAGGCAGCAGUGGGGAAUAUUGCACAAUGGGCGAAAGCCUGAUGCAGCAACGCCGCGUGAGAGAUGAAGGCCUUCGGGUCGUAAAACUCUGUCCUCAAGGAAGAUAAUGACGGUACUUGAGGAGGAAGCCCCGGCUAACUACGUGCCAGCAGCCGCGGUAAUACGUAGGGGGCUAGCGUUAUCCGGAUUUACUGGGCGUAAAGGGUGCGUAGGCGGUCUUUCAAGUCAGGAGUGAAAGGCUACGGCUCAACCGUAGUAAGCUCUUGAAACUGGGAGACUUGAGUGCAGGAGAGGAGAGUGGAAUUCCUAGUGUAGCGGUGAAAUGCGUAGAUAUUAGGAGGAACACCAGUUGCGAAGGCGGCUCUCUGGACUGUAACUGACGCUGAGGCACGAAAGCGUGGGGAGCAAACAGGAUUA